UGGGGAAUUUUGGACAAUGGGCGAAAGCCUGAUCCAGCAAUGCCGCGUGUGUGAAGAAGGCCUUCGGGUUGUAAAGCACUUUUGUCCGGAAAGAAAUCCUUGGCUCUAAUACAGUCGGGGGAUGACGGUACCGGAAGAAUAAGCACCGGCUAACUACGUGCCAGCAGCCGCGGUAAUACGUAGGGUGCAAGCGUUAAUCGGAAUUACUGGGCGUAAAGCGUGCGCAGGCGGUUUGCUAAGACCGAUGUGAAAUCCCCGGGCUCAACCUGGGAACUGCAUUGGUGACUGGCAGGCUAGAGUAUGGCAGGAGGGGGUAGAAUUCCACGUGUAGCAGUGAAAUGCGUAGAGAUGUGGAGGAAUACCGAUGGCGAAGGCAGCCCCCUGGGCCAAUACUGACGCUCAUGCACGAAAGCGUGGGGAGCAAACAGGAUUAGAUACCCUGGUAGUCCAGCGCCCUAAAGCGAUGUCAACUAGUUGUUGGGGAUUCAUUCCUUAGUAACGUAGCUAACGCGUGAAGUUGACCGCCU
rnacentral:rRNA from 1 species